rnacentral:tRNA from 1 species
GAGGGCAAAGCUCAGUGGUAGAGUGUGUGCUUAUUAUGCACAGGGUCCUGGGUUCAUUCCCUGGUACCUCCA